GUUGCUCUGUUGGGUGCUAUACAGUGAUGUGUAGGUUGCUAUGCUGGGUGCUAUACAGUGAUGUGUAGGUUGCUAUGUUGGGUGCUAUACAGUGAUGUGUAGGUUGCUAUGCUGGGUGCUAUACAGUGAUGUGUAGGUUGCUCUGUUGGGUGCUAUGCAGUGAUGUGUAGGUUGCUCUGUUGGGUGCUAUACAGUGAUGUGUAGGUUGCUAUGCUGGGUGCUAUACAGUGAUGUGUAGGUUGCUAUGUUGGGUGCUAUUCAGUGCUAUGUGGCUAGCCUCUGUGGUACAUACACUUACACCUACCUAGAUUGUUUAUAUGAACAUACCUGGUCACGGUAGACUUCCGUGUGAUAACAAAACAGAACCCAGCCUUAGAAGGCAGUGAGUCUCAUUUGGGUAUCACUGUUUUGCAUGACUCCUUGUAAACGACCAGGGGAGGAAAACCCAAAAGCCUCCUUGGCCUUCCAGUGAACACUGUUUUCAGCUGGCAGUGUUCUAAUGUUUCCUGCUGUGUUAGUACACUUCAAACACACACACACAAAGACACACCUCUGAUUGUUUUUGUCCAUGCCACAAAGACCCAAUACAAUAGGCCUGCUAAUCCGCGAAACACUGUGACACACAACGCGGUGCAUUCAGGCAUGGAAGAAUGUUUCCCCCUUCUAAGACAAGACAAUGAAGGAUUUGUCAAGGUAAAAUUCAGGUUUUGCAAAGCUGCUUUGAUUAGCACAUUAUUAAAGGAACAGUUCACCUGAACACAUUUCUG
ensembl:lncRNA